AGUGAACGCUGGCGGUAGGCCUAACACAUGCAAGUCGAACGGCAGCACAGUAAGAGCUUGCUCUUACGGGUGGCGAGUGGCGGACGGGUGAGGAAUACAUCGGAAUCUACUUUUUCGUGGGGGAUAACGUAGGGAAACUUACGCUAAUACCGCAUACGACCUACGGGUGAAAGCAGGGGAUCUUCGGACCUUGCGCGAUUGAAUGAGCCGAUGUCGGAUUAGCUAGUUGGCGGGGUAAAGGCCCACCAAGGCGACGAUCCGUAGCUGGUCUGAGAGGAUGAUCAGCCAACGCGGAAAGGGGAAACGGUCCAGACUCCGAAGGGGGGAAGGAGGGGGGAAUAUUGGAAAAGGGGGGCAAGCCGGAUCCAGCCAUACCGCGGGGGGGAAGAAGGCCUUGGGGUUGUAAAGCCCUUUUGGGGGGAAAAAAAAGCAGCAGGUUAAUACCCCGGUGUUCUGAGGGUACCCAAAGAAAAAGAACCGGCUAACUUCG
rnacentral:rRNA from 1 species